GCUUAGUAUCAUAUUCGUUUCGUUGUUGGGUCGAACUGAACGAAGCAGUGGUCGCGUCUUACUUAUGUACCCGAGUCUGACCUUUUUCUUAUCGAAGAUAACUCUUUUCUUUUAUUAGGUAAUGAUAAACUGCAAUUUUAUGUGAUGCAAUGCAUUCAAUUUGUGCUGUCAUUAUUUGCAUUGCAGUGGAAUUAAAUCAUCACAAAAUUUACCUAAGUUCCUUAAUAACCCGGAAAACAUGUUGUUUAAUUAGUACAUCUUCAUUAACGAUUGGGGCCACGUUAAUUAAUAAAUAAUGUUUAAAUAAUUAAGUAGUAAAUUCAAGUUGAAACGAAGAGUUACAUUGAUAUUUUAUUAUU